ensembl:lncRNA
UAAAUGCCAUACAAUUGUUGUUAAUGUAAUUUAAUAUAAUUAAUGUUAAUAACUGAAACCUUAUUGGAAGUGUUACUUAAGUUUUAUAUGUUGUGUUGUGUGUCUCUUGAUGGUUCGGAUUAACCCUUUCAUUGCUGUAUGCCUUAAUUCCAAACUGCUAAAUUAAGUGUGCCCAAUCCUGUUCCUGGUGAUCGACUGUCCUGCAAAGUUCAGCUCCAACUCUAAUCAGUCACACCUACCUUUAAUUUUCAAGCAAUCCUGAAGACAUUCAUUAGUUGGUUCAGGUGUGUUUGAGUAGGGUUGGAGCUAAACUUUACAGGACAGUCGAUCGCCAUUAACAGAGUUGGACACCCCUGAGCUAGACGGUUACUGUGUAUGUGCCGCUGGGCACAGCUUUCCUGAUGCCACCGGGGUGGCGUUUGCGCUGACGGCUCGGGCCCGCCAUCGCUGCUUGCAGCUAUAUUCUUAUUAUUAUUAUUAUUAUUUUUUUUUAUUUUUUAAACCUUCCGGGGGUUUUUGGAGGCCUUAACAUACUCAAAAACUCUUGAAAAUUGGCACACACAUUGGAACCUGCGGCCAUCAGGACGCCGCAGAGGCUGGGACCCGGGCGUGGCACAGGGGCUCUACGGCGCCCCCUGGAACACAGUCAGAAAUCUUGAACCAUAGCUCACACAUACUUGCAUGUAUUUAUAUGAAACUCUGUACACUUAUAGAUCUCAUUGAGCCGAACAACUUUCGCGCUCUA